GCGCUGGCCGCAACUGUGCUCCAGGAGCCGCCGGGAGCAGAACCUUGUUGAUGUGUCACCAGCACGUGGAGCCAGCUCCGGCAGAUCGAGCGAACGGGUAGAACUCACCCAACUUUCCAGGCACCUCGCUCCUCUCCCCGCUGCGAUGGGCUGCUGCUUCUUAGGGCAGGAGUGGAGACAACCCCUAGGUCCCAGGCAGGUUGAGCAAGGAGCUUGCCCGGGCUGGUGCUUGCGGGGAGUCCUGGACGUCGGGGCACAGGGCCCGGCUCCCAGAGACUUCUCCGACCCCGGGGGCGGUGCGGCCCAGCUCGGCCCGGGCCCUGUGCCCCUCGGAUCUGAGCGCAGGUAUUCCUCAGGUUCCCUCCCAGGUGCUGACUCAAAAGCUCUCACCACUCAAGAAGAUGACUGUAUGCAGAACCCUGACCAUCGUGGUCCUCCUUCCUGGCCAGCCUGGCCCCUGGCUGCGCGGGCUCUGGCUGUCCGAGCCUGCCUCCACGCCAGCCCUCCCAGAGGAAGGGGCAGCUCCCGGGUACAGGUUCCCAAGGGGCUGUGGGGAGCGAUGUUCCUCCCUCCUUGGUAAGAGGUGGGUGGAGUUCUCAUGAUACCCGGGCUGAUGCAGUUCCAUCCUUUCCAGCUAAGCAUUUGCUCAUUUCACGCCAACGGUCCCUGGGGCCUGCCCUUCCGUCCCUCGCAGAGCUCCUUGCUCCUGAGCAUGUUCCUCGGUCCUUAUCCCAAAACAUUUGCAGAAGACACUAUAUCAAUUUUUCUAAAAAAUAAAACAGUACUGUUUUUCCUCAGUUAUAAAAGAACUGCCUUGCAUUUCAAAAAUACAAAAGGAUGAAAAAUGCAUAUAAGUGCCCAUAGCCUGGGAUAAUGUCUGCUAAUGAAAUUCAUCCUCCCAGCAUUUUUCCCCAUGUGCAUGUUCACCCCCAUCCAGUUAGCAGGAUCGGGGCUUUUGAAAUGGGCGAGGCUUGUAACUCAUUCAGUGACAGCUCUGUGCCCUCAGGAGCCAGAAAGUCUCUGUUUUCUUUCUGACAGGUGGGACGGGCCAUGGACUGGAGAUUGCCUCCAGCCAGGCUGAUCAGAGACCUCCCUGGAGGGUACUGGGGCAGCACCGAGUCUCUCUCCAGACAGGUGGUUGGAGUUGCUGGGGAGGAGGCUAGAAAUGUGGGCUGUGUCCUUGCUGAUUUCUAAGUGGGCUGCUGCAUUGCUUCUGGGCCCUGGUCACCUGAGAAUCUCUUGGAGAGUAGUAAAAACUCCAAUGGCCCUGGCCGGUGUGGCUCACUUGGUUGGAGCAUUAUCCUGGCAUAACCGAAAGGUUGAGGACUCAAUUCCCAGUCAGGACACAUACCUAGGCUGUAGGUUCGAUCCCCGGUCCAGGCACAGGUGCAUCAACUCCUAGUCUGGGUGCAGGUGAUCCCCGGUCCAGGGGCCGAUCCUGUCCAGGGGGUAUACAGGAGGCAACCAACUGAUGCUUCUCUCUUGCAUCAAUGCUUCUCUCCUUUCCUCCCUUCCUCUUGUCUCUAAAAGCAAUGAAGACAAAAAGUCCUUGGUUGAGGAUCAAAAAAACAAAAAAAUAACCCAUUAAUGCCUGGGCUCCACCCCAGACCAACUGGAUCUGAAUUGUCAGGGUUGGUGGGGGGCCUGGGAUGGAUCGGGUUUUGUUUUUCUGACGUUCCUCAGCUGAUGCAGCUAAGCAGCCCACAAACUGCCCACCGUGUGCCCCUCAGUCAGAGGCAGGAGAGGCUUCCUCCAGCCCUGCCUUCGGAGUCUGAUCAGGUGAUGUGACCGUUUGCAAUUGGCAGGUUUUCUCUUCCUGUGUUUCCCGUGCUCUCAGAGUCAUCUUUCGAUCCUCAUCUCACAGGAGAGAAGGACCAAGGCCAAGGAGACCGGGAGGCUUACCGGAGGCACACAGCUGGGAGGUGGCAGAGCUGGGGAUUAGAUUGCCAGCUUCCGACUCCCAAGGUCAGUGCUCUUUCAGUAAUAAUUAUUCUUUGUAAUUAGCUUAUAUGAUUAUUAACAAGCAUGUCAUAAUGCUUACUAAUACUUAGGUUCCUGUGAUGAUGAAACCCUUGAGGUGGGUGGGGGCCAUGGUCUCCUGGAGGAGGUACCCGCUCCACAGGGAGACUGGGGGUUGUCCCUUGGUCUCCCCGGUGUUGACUGUGCACCUGGCCAGCCUGGCCCCACAGCCUGCCGUGCUGCCAAGAGCCCGGCUCUGCGCAGGGCGGGACUUAGCCCCGUUUUCAGAACACGCCAGAGGCGUGUGGCUCAGGUCCCACAGCUGGGGUGGCAGAGAGCCACUGGCUUCCUGCUCGUUGCCUGGACAGAGGCAUCUAAGAAGGAGCACAGCCUGCAUGGGGCUUGCUCCUCCUGGCCCUGCUCCAAGCUGGCAGCUGUUAGGAUAAGACCCCUGCUGGGGGCCUAGGUCUACAGAAGGCUGUCGCUGCCCCUCCCUCUUUCCUACAGAGCCGGCCUGCGAGGACCUGGCCUGAGGGUCAGCUGGGCAGGAUGCCAGUGCAGGGAAUGAACGGGCAGGCACACUGACAGCUCCAGGAAGCAGUCCGAUGUUCCCCGGGGUUGGUCUGCAGAGUUGCAGGGCCAGCCUGCCUCAGACAUGGCGGGUGGAGACGGGAAUUGGGAGCCGAGAACACCACUUUCCCAGAGCCCAGCGGCUCUGUGCCAGGCCCACGGGCUUCCUUUGGCAGGGAGUGCCCGGGCCUUGGCCACACCUUCCCUUGCUGGGGCUUGGCUCUCUACGUCCUCCGUCUGGCUCUUGCCCUGCUCCCCGCCCAGCUCUUUGCGGCAGAACGCACACUCUUGGCAACGACAUCCAUUUAACCUGCUUCCCAGAAAGCAGGAUGGCUGGGCAGGCCGACUCAGCCAGCCCCGUGAUGGAAAACAGGGCGGUGGGCCUCAGCUCGGGCUUUUCUUUCCCAUAUCCCUUAGGCAGCUGGAUUGGGAGAUAGUCCUGAACUGCCUUGGCUUACCUAGGUCAGAAAUAAGCUCAGCUCAGCUAGCAGCCUUGAGCAGUUAGGCCGAGCGAAGAGCUUUGAGCUCCUGCAGUUGGGGUGGCACAGGGGGAGACAAGCCUUUGCCCAGGGGUCUGAUGGAGGGCAGCCAUUUAGCUAGGGCCUGAGGUAGAGCCCCCAUCUCUAUGAGCCUGUUGCCUCGUGUAUUUGUGCACAAUCGUGCCCCAUAGGAAGGUGUGAGCACUGUAGGCUUAUGAAGUCACCACACCCUGUCCCUCCCCUCUGGGAGGGCCACUUCCCCAGAGAGCUCUGGGUGGGGUCUGGCAUGAAGAUGCUCAUUCAGCGCUAGUCGCACUGCACUGCUCAGGAAGUAAGCAGCACGUCCUUGAUCUCUGCAGGGACCACCUUUCAUCAGUUUUUUUCUCUGGGCAUCCUGCCCUGGCCAGACCCUGCUGGGAUGGUGGGUCUAGACUGAGAAGCCACAGUCCUCACCCCUUUGCCCUGCAUCCCUGUCUGGUCUGGCCCACGGAGGCACCUUGCAAUCCCCAGGUUCAUCCUACAAGUCUGGGUCCAUCACCAUCAGUUCCAAGACAUUCCCUCUGGGCCUGGGCCAGAGUAGCUGCUACAGAGCUCUUCCCUUGCCCGCCCCCCCCCCCCCCACCUCCUUGGGGUGCAGACAGCCCAGCAGGCAGGAAGGGCUUUCUGUUUGGCUUGGCUCAUGGGGAGGAGAUGAGCGCUUGCUUUCUGUGUUGACUCUCGUAUCUAACAGGCAGAGCCCUGGGACAUGGCAGAAAAGCAGCCUUGGACCUACAAUGAAUGGGGGGACUGUCCUGGCCACUGCAGAGGGGAUCGUGCCUCCUUCACCUUGUGUUCUUGGGGUUCUGCUGGGGGCCAAUCCCACCUCCUGGCUUUAGAGGCAGGCAUGUGUCCCAGGCUGGGCACUGAGACUCCCCAUUGGAACUUUUGCAGCCACUAUGGGGAAACAAGCAUUUGCUUGGAGCUGCCAAGUUGACAGAAGUUGCCAAGCUUGGAACUGCUAGUGGCCAUCCUGUUCUCUGCUUGAGGAUAAAGCCCACAAGGAAGAAAGACAGCUGAGAGAAGGCAAGUAUAUUCUGUCCAGAUGUCAGUAAGCCCCUGGAUCAAGCCAUACCUGAAGCCAACUGUACCCUUGGACUAACCUGAUUAUAUGAGCCAAUGCAGUUUUUUUUUUUCCCUAACACUAUCUGGAGUUAGGUUUCUGUCAUAGAAAGGGUCCUGACAAAGGCAAUGUUUUUCUUUGAUCUCAUUUUUUAAAAUUGACUUUGAGGUAUACUUUACAUGCAAUAGAAUCCACCCAUUUUAACUGUUCAAUUCACAAGUUUUGUCAAAUGCGUACACCCUUAUAACUAUCACCACCAAUAUUUCACGUUCCCUUAUUCCCUGUGAUGGCCUAUUUUCCCAACCCAGACAACUGCUGGCCUACCUCUGUUCCAGAGACUCCUUUUGCCUUUUCUUGAGUUCUAUGUAAAUGUCACAUCAUGUGUGCUCUUUUGUGUCUGGCUGCCUUUCUUCAACAUGGUUAUGAGGUUUUUUCCUAUUUUCAUGCACCAAUAGUUCAUUCCUCUGUAUCGCCAAGUACUGUUCUGUUGUAUGGAUGUGCCAGUUUGUGUAUCAUUUAUCGGCUUAUAGACAGUUGGGCUGUUUCCUGAUUUUGGCUGUUAUGAAUAAAGCUGUUCUAACAU